UAAAUGAACUUGUUUUAUGUCCAAAAUAUUAUUUAAUAUCACUGAAUCAACCAAAAUAUAUUAAACUAACUUUACUUUAAAACAAAAGAGCAGCUGGAUCAUUCGGCUAAACUUCUCAUAGGGUUUUGGAUCAAAAUUAUGACAGAAUUAUCAAUUUGGGUUGACCUAUCUCUUUAAAAACAAGCACACAGAUGUACCUACCAGACCCCUCCCCCUCCCCGUCACCUCCCUCUCCUUUAACAAUCUCUGUAAACAAAGCGGAACCUAUGAAUGAAGGUGGAGAGCGAGCGAGGGAAUCGAAAGAGGGAAACGCAGCCAUGCAUCUCUCAGGAGAAACACAGUCAGGGAUGAGAGAACUGAGAAGAGAAAGACAUGGACAAGAAGAGGACGAGAGCUAAAGCGGAGAGAGAAAAAAAAGAACUCACAUCAUCUCUGUCAAAGCCUCUUUCGUUGGAUGUCGAUGUUGGCCUUGCUGCCCUCCCCCUCCGUCUCCCUCUGCCUCCUUCGCUCUCUACGGCAUUGCUGGAUCCACAAUCUACUGCCUUAUUCUACCACUUUCUACAACUCUCACACUCUUUCUGUCCUCCAGCAUGGUAGACUACACCACACCGCUGUUCAUUCAGAGCAUGUGUGUGAUGAAGAGAGAGAGAGAGAGAGAGAGAGAGAGAGAGAGGAGGGGAGAAAGAGCCAGAGCCAGAACGAGCAGAGGAGAGGGAGAAUCAGCAGGAUAUAGGGGGUAAGGAAGUGUGGAUAGUGGCAGAAGGCAUAUUUGUGCCUGUACAGUACAGUAUGUAUUUGUACACGUGUUCCCAUAUCUGUAUCGAUGCCAGAGAACUUGCUGACAUGUUUUCAGUGUAAGACUGCACAGCCGUGUUUGUGAGGACUCGUUCUGUGAACUUCUACCUGAAAUUAUACUGUACAUCCUUGACCCUAUUACGCAGAUCACUGGCCUAUAAAGAGAUCACGUGUGCUGGGAAGGGAAAAGGCGAGUGCUGCAGGGCGCUCAGGGACAGGGACGCUGGAAUUGUGUCACAGUUGAGCUCGCACAGACCGAAGGAAGACAAGGAGUAGAGAAGGAUGAUGCAGAGAGAGGAAGCUGCUAUUAAAAAUGACUCUGCGAGGGAAGGACAAUGAUAGAGGAGGUGAAGCGAUGCCAGAAAGGAUGCAGUGAUGUGUGGGGUUCUGGAAAUGUGGGGCUGAGAUGAGAACAGAAGAGCUGAGAGGCUGGAGAAACAAUAGAGACAGCUUGAUGAACAGAAAGAAAGAAUUGCCCUUCAUAGUCUGACCUCCAGAUGGAGUCACCACAGGGGUGGGAGGGUGAUGGAGAGAAUAUGAAAGAGCGCAGGGGGCUUCUGGGAUGAGAUGAGUGUGAACUCUCUUCAAGACUGGGACAGAAUGACAUCAUGAGGCAGCUUUAUGUUUACUGUGAGGUGCUAAUGAAAAAAGCACAGCAGUGUUAAUUUAGCAGCACACGACAGACUGAGAGAGAGUGAGUCAGAUUACAACAUUGCCACCAAAAACAGACAACACAGUCUUGCGCAAAGUGCUUAGUUUCAUGGUGCUGUCACUUAAAUUCAAAGGGUCUGGGACAAUAUUUUAAGUUCCACCCUUCUCCCUAAGGCCUAGUGAACU